AUUGAACGCUGGCGGCAGGCCUAACACAUGCAAGUCGAACGAGUGGCGGACGGGUGAGUAAUGUCUGGGAAACUGCCUGAUGGGGGGGGAUAACUACUGGAAACGGUAUCUAAUACCGCCUACCAUCGUAUGUGCCCAUAUGGGAUGAGCUAGUUGGUGGGGUACAGGCUCACCUAGGCGACGAUCCCUAGCUGGUCUGAGAGGAUGACCAGCCAAACGGGAACUGAGCAAGGGUCCAGACUCCGACGGGAGGCAGCAGUGGGGAAUAUUGCACAAUGGGCGCAAGCCGGAUGCAGCCAUGCCGGGUGGAUGAAGAAGGCCUUCGGGUUGUAAAGUACUUUCAGCGGGGAGGCGGUACCCGCAGAAGAAGCACCGGCUAACUCCGUGCCAGCAGCCGCGGUAAUAC
rnacentral:rRNA from 1 species